UUGGAAGGCUGUGUUGAAAAGGCAUCCAUUCAUAGAUUUCAAUUUGCUUUUGUUAGAUGUCCCACAAUGUUUCCAGUGUAGACCACUGUGCAUUAUUUCUCAUCUUGAGGUUGCUUCAGUUGUGCAGGAAGCAAAAUCCAAAGUUCAUUCCGUGUGAGGAAGGGCUGUGGUUGCUGAUUUACAGUGAACAGUAAGAAAACGGAGAUGGACAUGAGCAUUUUAAGCAAGCCCAUCCCUUAAAAAUUUUUCCGUCUUUGGAUGAAUAAGAGGAAGAAGUAUCACAGAAUAUUUGGCUGACGUAUCACAUUACCUGACUUCAGACUACAGACUGGAAGCUGAAGAAGCCAAACACCCAGAAAUGCCAACAGGUGAUCUCUCUGUCACACAUACACAGCCCCCUGAAUAAAAAGCAGCAAAAGGAUUCAGUUCUCUCAAGAUAAGGGGCCAGGAAAAGGGACACUUAGAAAGACAGUAUUUUUAAACAAUAGUGUAUCUACUACAACUAAACAUCAUGGAAAAGCAAAACAAAACAACAGAAACGGUGGCCUUCAUCCUCAACCACACAAGCAAAAGCCAAGGAGGGAGCUUAGACUUCCAUCCUCACAAGGCUGGAAUGACAGUUCCUAAAGCCCCUUCAGAAUAAUGUGAGAAAAGGCCACGCAGGGAGACAGGAGUUUCAUAUCUGCUUUCUGGUAAUGAUCCCUGCUUCCUAGACCCAUAGUGUCAAUGGAGACCAGAAAUGAAGCCUGGAAGUCUACUUGGAGGCAGUAAUGAGGCACCCUUCCCCUCUCUGUUAGAGUGGUAUCAAAUGAGGGCAUUGCUCUGUGGCAAUGAGACAAUCCCCACUGCAGUGUUAGUAGAGACCAUGUGAGAUAUUGGAAGCUCAGGUCUGUCCAGCUGUAUGUGGGCUACCUCCCCCAAUAUCAAUGAAGAUCAGAUGGAGAAUCUUGUCUUCUACUUUCACCUGGUAGUAAUGAGGCCGUUUCCACCUUCGUGUGUCAGAUUGUUCUCAGAGAGACAGUUAAAACAGAAUAAAAUAAUAAAAUCUGGUGCCUCAUAACAUAGUACAAAAAUGUCCAGGUUUCUGGUAAGUGAAAGAAUUCAGACACAUAGGUCCAGCAUUUUACAAUUACAUUUAUUUUAAAAUGUCCAUAAUAAAAUAAUUCAUAGAGACAGAAUUGGUGGUUUCCUAGGUAUGUGAUGGGGCUUGUUGAGGGGAAGUUAGGACUAACUGGUAAUGAGCAUGAAGUUUCAUUCUGGUUUAUUGAUAUUGAUCUAAAAUUGAUUGUUCUGAUGGUUUCAAAGUGCGAAAUAUUAAAACCAUUGACUUGUGCACUUUAAAUGAGCAAAUUAUAUGGCUUAUAAUUACAUCUCAAUAAAGGGAUAAAAUAAAAUUAGCAACAUAAAAAUAAUCAAUUUAUCUAUUAUUAGGUAUGAAAUCAAGAGAUUAUGUAUAAUCCACUCAGCAAGAGGCAGAAUGCAUUUUUUGUUCAAUAUGUAAUAAAUUUAUUCAUGGCUAGAAAAUAUCUAGAAAUUAAAUAACUUAAAAAAUAAAACCUUGAAAGAAUCUCUGUAUGUUAUUAUUUGUAGGCAGAUUACUUUGAAAAUAAGUCCCUUGAAUAUAUGUCAGCUGUGAUGGAUAAAGAGUAAUUCCAUGAAAAGGUGACCUUCUAAGUGCCAAUAUUUUCUGUGGCAGAAGAACAACAAUAUACAUUUUGUCUACUCUGGGACUGGUUGAUUUAUAUUGAUGAGUGGUAAUCUGAUAUUUUGAGCCACAAAUUAUAUAAAUAGAUGGAUAGAUUGGUUUUUAUAUUUUGCUAUUAUUUUAUGUAUUAUGUCAUGUUUAUUUGUUAGAAUUUAAAAAUAGCAUACCAAAUGUUUUAAUUCUUAUCAUUAAGGCUCUUAUAAAAAUAACACUAACUUUAAAUGCAGUGUAAACUUCUGCUCAAAUAUAACACAGUGGGGAAUGAGAGAAAUACUACAUACCCUUGUGAGGGGUUUUCUUUUCCUUGCUCUAAAGUGUACCACUCACAUGUACUGGAAAUUUGCAUGUAGCUCUUCCUGUUUCUUGAUUUUUGAAAACUCCCUCCCUCGUAGGAUUCCAGUGGUUUACUCUUUGCCCAGGGAAUCUAAGGAUUUGUCAAUUUGUCAUUCCACCCACCCUUUCUACUCUGGUGGUACUUUUCUAUAAUUAAAAAAAAUCAUAUGCAGAUACAAUUGAACAAUUGGGAAUAUAAAGACUGUGGCAAAUCAUUAAGUAUUUUAAUGAAUCACAAAUCAUUUCUUAUUCUAAAGAUAAUAAAACUUAAUUUUCAUACCCAACUCCUCAAUUAAUUCUUUAUUGUUUACACGAACUCUUUCAAUGAGAAACUACAUAGAUUGAUUAGUAACACUAUUUUCUUGAGGUUGAUAAAUAUUUCUGAGUUGCAUAUUUUUCCUCUUGAUCUGUCUAAUCACUGUGGUGAGUAACUUUUGUAUGUUUACAUUAAUCAUAACAAAAUCCAAUAUACUGUACAUCUGUGAGGAAGGAGGUGUUCUUCCCGUCUUAUUCUAUGCAUAUGUCACACCUUAGAAUAAAACGGUGCCCAUCCUUCAAAAUUGCAUGGAGUGUUUCUACUAUUCUCCAUUGUAUCAUUUAGAAAUGCUUCUCCUAUGCAUUUAACAGAUUGCUCAACAAAUGAUGGCUCAAGGCAGAUGGUUUAAAUUUUUUAAGUGACGUGAGGUUGGAGACUGAUGACUGUCAUUUUUUUUAUUAGUUAAGUAGCUCAACAAUUUCAGAGGCAGUAUGUUUUUCAUUGUCUUGUCCUUAAAUUAACUUUCCGAAAUUGAUGAAACUCACAUAAAAUUGCUCAGGUCCACGAAGCAGAAGUUGAUGUCAAAUAAAUACUUCCUCCACACACUUCUCUUUUUCAUGGAAGGGACAUCUGUUUUUUACAUUAUUCUGAGCUGACUUCCUCCUGCAUUAGCAAUAGUCAAUUGUUUUUGUUUUAAUUUCUAAAUUCUGAUCUUCCUAAAUCAUCUUUUUUCAAAUGUGGAUGAACUUCCUAGGACAGAAAUCAUUGAUUAAAAUUGAUACACCUUUGUUUAUUUCUUUUUCAGCCUGUUCUUGAUUACUUAAUGCUAAUUAUUGCUCCUAUCCCCCCCAAAAUUUAUUACUAAUCCACACAAAUUAUACUCUGCAACCAUUUCAUGAUGGUUUCUAUUUGACAAAGUCAAGCAUUGAUAAUCCACUGAUUAGCUUAUAUUUCUGUGUGUUGAUGUAGUGAUUGAUUAUUGAAUUAAUAUUCUAUGCUUGAAGUGGUUAUGAUCUUUAUUCAUUUAUCAUAUUUAAAUAUUUCAUUGUCAAGUAAAAUUACAUAAAAUCAAGAUGUACAAUGUGAUGAUUUGCUAUACAUAUAUAUUGUGUACUGAUUACACAGUCAAAUUAAUUAACAUAUCCAUCACCACUCUUAGUUUCCUCUUUUCUUUUUUGAGUGUUUAUGUGUAUGUAGCAAAGAUACUUAAAAUGUGCUUUCUUAUCAAAUUCAGGUAAACAAUACAGUAUUAUUAAUUAUAGAAAUCAUAGAGCCCCAGAACAUGUACAUCUUAUAACUGAUCUCUCUGCUAUUUCUCUUCUUUCAAUCUGACACCUGCCAAAGUGGAGCUUUGCUCUAUGUUGUCUCAGGAUGACAGCAACAAAGGCAAAAAUGACAUUAAGGGACAAUAUAGGGUAGUUGUUGAGAGCAUGAAAUCUGGAUUUGAUUACCUGGCUUUGAAACCUAUUUGUACUACCUAAUACAUUGGUGAAUUCUGACAAUUUAUUUACCCUUUCUAAACCUUUAUUUUUAUCAUCUGAAAAAUGGAACUUUUAGUAAAACUUAGCUCACAGAACUAUUGUGAUGGCUAAAUUAAGACAUAGAGAAUGCCAUUUGUUGUUGGUGUUCUAUUUUCCCUUUUUUCUGUUCUUUUUAUUGUGGACUUAAAAACUUUCUUUGUUUAUUAGAGUUGCUAUAACAAAUUACCAUAAAAUGGGUGGUUCCUAAACAAUAGAAAUUUACUUAAUACAAUUCUAGAGGCUGGGAAGUCCAAGAUCAAGGUGCCAGUAGAUUUGGUGUCUAGUAAGGUCUUCCUCUCUGGAUCAUAGAUGGUGUCUUCUCCCUGUGUCUUCAUAUAGUGGAAGGAGGUAAGAAGUUCCCUGAGUCCUCUCUCACAAGGACACUAAUCUCAUUCAUGAGAAUCUACUCUCAUGAUCUCGUUUCUCCCAAAGGUCCUACCUUCUAAUACCAUCACCUUGGGGGUUAGGAUUUCAACAUAUACAUUUGGGAAGAAUACAACAUUCAGAACAACUCUUUUUGUUGUGGUGGUGGUGGUUGUUAUUUUAGCGUUUGUUUUAGGGCAUAGAUAUUUUACUUGUAAUAGUUUACUUUCAAGUGUAAUUAUAUCCCUUCACAUAUAAAAUAAGAACUUUACAGUAUUUAACCACUCCUGCCAUCUCCUUUAUAACAGCUUUGUUGUAUAUUUUUAUUACUCUUAAACAAAUAAUUAUCUUUCACAUAGAUUUAAAUUAUUGAAAUCACUAUGUAGUCACUUCUGGUGCUGUUCAUUCUUUUGUCUAGAAUCACAUUUCAAUCUGGUAUUUUUUUCCCUUCUGAUUGAUGGGCUUCAUUUAUCAUUUCUUUUAGUGCAAGUUUAAUCAUGAAGGGUUCUUUCAGUGUUGAUAUGUCUGAAAUAACUUUAUUUCACAUUCCUUUUCAAAAUAUGUAUUCCCUGGGUAAAGAAUCCUAGGUGACAGUUAUUCUGUUUCAGUGUUUUGAUGCUGUUGCUCUGCUGUAUCUUGACUUGCAAUGUUUUUGAGGAGAAGCUAAAUGAACAAUGAUGUUACAUGAAAUAAAAUGUUAUUAUUUUUCUUAUUCCUCUGUAUACAAAGUGUUUGUGUUUUGACUGCUUAAGGUUUUUAUUUAUCACUUGCUGUGUGAAAUUGUGUUUGUUUUUAUUUUGUUUUGUUUUGUUUUCUCUCCACUUUUGUUUGGGGUUCAGGGCUACAUGUGCUGGUUUGUUACAUGGGUAAUUUGAGUAUCACUGAAGUUUGGUAUACAAGUGAUCCCAUCACCCAGGUAGUGAACAUAGCACCCAAUAUGUAGCUUUUCAACCCUUGCACCUUGCUCUCUCUUCUCCUCUAGUGUACCCCAGUGCCCAGUGUCUAUCAUUCCCACCCAUCUUUAUGUCUAUUUGAACACAAUCUUUAGUUCUCACUUAUAAGUGACAACAUGUAUUAUUUGAUUUCCUGUUCCUGUGUUAAUAUGCUUAGAAUAAUGGCCUUCAGCUGCAUCCACAUUACUGCAAAAGACAUGAUUUUCUUCUUUUUAUGGCUAUACAAUAUUCCACAUAUGUAUAGAAUAUUUCAUAUAGUAUUCCAUAUAUAUUGUAUUAGCCAUGUAGUAUUCCACAUUGUAA
rnacentral:lncRNA from 10 species